GACGAACGCUGGCGGCGUGCUUAACACAUGCAAGUCGAGCGGAAAGGCCCUUCGGGGUACUCGAGCGGCGAACGGGUGAGUAACACGUGAGUAACCUGCCCCAGACUUUGGGAUAACCCUCGGAAACGGGGGCUAAUACCGGAUACGACACAGCUUCGCAUGGGGUCUGUGUGGAAAGUUUUUCGGUUUGGGAUGGGCUCGCGGCCUAUCGGCUUGUUGGUGGGGUGAUGGCCUACCAAGGCGACGACGGGUAGCCGGCCUGAGAGGGCGACCGGCCACACUGGGACUGAGACACGGCCCAGACUCCUACGGGAGGCAGCAGUGGGGAAUAUUGCACAAUGGGCGGAAGCCUGAUGCAGCGACGCCGCGUGAGGGAUGACGGCCUUCGGGUUGUAAACCUCUUUCAGCAGGGACGAAGCGUAAGUGACGGUACCUGCAGAAGAAGCGCCGGCCAACUACGUG
rnacentral:rRNA from 1 species